rnacentral:lncRNA from 10 species
AGCUUUCCAAACUCAGCAGAGCACACAUCAGAGUGUGUUUAGUUCAUCUGGGCUGGUGAGUUCCAGUGAUGAAAGCCUGGUGCUAAUGGAGGCUUUUAUAAAACCGCUUUUAUAAAAAUCCCUGCGGACAAGUUCACAGUAGCUGACUCCCCAAGAUGAGACGUGCUGCUUUAGGUAACCUUUGGGUCCUUUCUGCUUGGGAAAUUCCUUUGUCCCCUUUAGUUCACCCCAGAAGGGCCCCAGUGUGUUGCACCGGGAGGAGAUUUAGCCUCCCGGGGGCCAGGGUCAGGGGAGGGAGCUGUGGGACGCAGAACCUGCCUGCUCUGCAGGUCUGAAGGAGAGACUGUUGAACUUCACAGACUUCCGGAAAAACAGGCGGUGAGGGAGGUGGAGGGGAGGCGGGGAGGGGGCUGCUGUGUUUAUCCAAGUGCUCCAGCGGCUGCGGGAGUUUUCUGCUUGUGUUUAUAUUUUCAGAAGGGGGCUGAAGAGCUAUGCCCAGACUGGAGCACGAGUCUGCUUGCUGGUGUGUUUCUCAGUCCAGUUUGAUUUUUUAAAGGUACCCUCCAU